rnacentral:lncRNA from 1 species
UGUGGCCACCUGCUCCUGACCUUUGGCUGCCAGCAACAUCUCAGAAUUCUCUGGCUGCACACCUUAUUUGAUAGAUGCUGAUUGCCGUCAGUGAGAUUUGGGGCUAGACUGCACACAAAAUGAAUUGCAUCUAUGGGAAGUAGCUGCUAUUCAGAUUUCAGUAAUUCAACCACUGUGAUUUAUAUGCAGACCAGUAUAUAGCAUAUCCUAUGAAAUGAAGAUUGAGCUGGGGGAAAAAAAUGCUUUAUUUAUUUAAAUACAGCUCAAUUUGAC